AGGGUGUAAACGCUGCAGACUUGGUGUUGGAGGCCCUUUGGGGGCAUUCAGUGCCGGAGAGAAGUUGUUAAGUCUGCUACUUGGGGAGUACGUCCGCAAGGAUGAAACUUAAAGGAAUUGGCGGGGGGAGCACCGCAACGGGAGGAGCGUGCGGUUUAAUUGGAUUCAACACCGUAAAACUCACCAGGGAAGACUGUUACAUGAAGGCCGAGAUGGAGACUCUGCUAGAUUUUCAGAGAGGAGGUGCAUGGCGUCAGUGACU
rnacentral:rRNA from 1 species